GCUCCUGCCCGCGGGGCUGGCGGCCCGGACAGAAGCAAAGUACUGAAAGCGGGUCCGUGAGGUUACUUUAUGCCGAUGUUUCGUGCUGUUACGCUAAAGCGGAGCUCGUUGCCGCAGCAGGCGCUGAGAGGCUUUGAUGCAGGCGCUGCCGCCCGGUCCGAACCAUCUGAACAUGGUUACUUAAUGCCCCGAGCAGGCAGCGGCAGCUCAGGCAGGAUGUCACUGCUCCUGGCCACAUCUCCCGCUGGUUCCCUCAGAGGUCAGCCCCCAGCCAGAUGGGCACU